CCCUGCGCCACAGGCGCCGCUCCGGACGCUGAUUGGUGAAUCCCGGGGAGGGGGCGUGCCCUGCCCGCGUAGCUGGGAGGGGAGGGAAAAGUAGGGGAGAGGAGCACGGGAGGGGCGGCUGCCUUCGCCUGAGCUCUGUGCCCUGGGCUUGGAACAGGUGACCAGGCCUGGAUCUCCCUCGGCCUGGUGGUGAGACGCACCUCCCAGCAUUUAGCGCCCUGGGCUGGCCUUCUGAGAAACCCCUCUUCUCUCUCCUCACCAGCAUCAGUAAGAAAAGCUGAGGGGAGGCAGGACUUGGCGCGAUCUAAGGAUGCAAUUUUCAAGUCAGAGCCGUCCAACAAUCAAGUAACUUCCGUUUGCACAGCGCUUUGGAGGGCUUUCAACUGGGUGAAAUCCUCGCACAAAUCUCUGAAUUUGUUAUGGUUCUUGAAUGAAGAAAAUGAGACCCAGAGAAGAGAAGGGCUUCUUUAACGUCACAUGGUGAAUUUGUCACAGCCAGAACUAGGACUCAGACCUCUUCAUGACUGGCUUGGUGGCCUUCCCACUAUACCGUGGAUCUCAAAGCCCGGCAGCCUGCAUACUUUCAAGGUAUGCAGGCCUUUCAAGCUCUGAAGACUGGGAGCUGCCAUUCUGAGAAAAACUUCUGUGAGGGAAGGUGAAAGCCGCCAGCUGCUGGGUGCAAGUUGCCUUGGUCAGGCUAAAGAAAGGAUGGCAAACGGCUUUCCUUCCCCACGUGGUUUUUAGCCCUUGUGGUUUUGCAAAGGGAAUAAACACUUUUAAGUGAA